rnacentral:rRNA from 1 species
UCGUUAUUAUUGGGUCUAAAGGGUCUGUAGCCGGCCUUGAUAAGUCUCUUGAGAAAUCUGAUAGCUUAACUGUUAGGCUUUCAGGAGAUACUGUCUGACUUGAGACCGGGAGAGGUGAGAGGUACUUCAGGGGUAGGAGUGAAAUCUUGUAAUCCUUGAAGGACCACCUGUGGCGAAGGCGUCUCACCAGAACGGACCUGACGGCGAGGGACGAAAGCUAGGGGCACGAACCGGAUUAGAUACCCGGGUAGUCCUAGCCGUAAACGAUACUCGCUAGGUGUCG